AAAGGUGGCCGGGUGAUCGCGGCACGUGGAACCAUCCCACACGUUGGGGGAGGCCAGGUGCGGAGGAAAGUCCGGACUCCACAGGGCACGGUGGUUGCUAACAGCAACCCGGGGCGACCCGCGGGCUAGUGCCACAGAAAACAAACCGCCGCGUGCCACCCACGCCUUCGGGCGCACGGUAGCAGCGCGGUAAGGGUGAAAAGGUGCGGUAAGAGCGCACCAGCACUGCAGGUGACUGCGGUGGCUUGGUAAACCCCACUGGGAGCAAGGUCAAGACGUUGCACACGGAUGUAAGCCGUCCAGCAGUGCGACGCAGUUCCAGAGCUGCCCGCUCGCUUUUUCAGGGACAGGUAGACCGCUUGAGACCUCCAGCAAUGGAGUGUCCAGAUGGAUGAUCACCUCGCGCCGCCCACCCCACGGGGACUUAAGGCGGUGUACGACAGAAUCCGGCUCACAGGCCACCUUUGCGC
rnacentral:RNase_P_RNA from 2 species